UUCAUACAUUUCAUGUGCAUAAUUAAAAAUAAAUUAUAAAGUCUAGAAGAAACCUGAAACUACUUUCUUUACCAUUAAUAUUUCAUUCUGCUGGUUGAAGUUGUUUUGUUUUCAUUUCCAUUUCUUAGUUUAUCAGUCUUAUUUUCAAAACAGCCUUUGCUAUUCUGGAGGGUAUAUUAUAAAAUUAAACAUCAGUUCAGAUGAAGUUCAGUAAAUGUUCCAGAAGUGUAGUCUUGCUCUGCCAUCACUGUCACUGCUAAAGUUAUAAAAUAAGCAAAUAUAAGAAUAGGAUCUGUAUAAAUGAUAAAAUCUGCGUUUUCCUGUGAGCAUUUUGGGGACUGGCCGUGCCCGAGAGGUGCCCCCAGGGAAGGACUGCCCAGCCCGUGUCAGUGUUGGGUGUGAGCUCUGCCUUCUGAACGCUUCUGCCCUCUCUUCGUGCCUCAAGCGCCUCCUCGCCAGAUGUCAUCUGGGAGCGUUCCUGGCUCUUCUAGAGACAGCAUGAUGAUCUAUCUCCUUGCUGGUGUUGCUGCUUUUGGUGGUUUAUUUUAUGCCUACAGAGUAGUCAGUUCACCCCGCAGCAAGUUUGUUGAAGAUACAAAUAUUCUUCGUGAGAGAGCCGAUGAGCAGAAAAGCAAUCCUUGGUCAAGAAAGGACACAAGGGAAAUCUCUUUCCAAACCUGAGGAAGUUAAAUACAAACAAAGGACAAUCGUUUACCAUUGAGUACAUUGCAGCCUACCUUGGGAUGACUUUGUACCUUCUAUUGUAAAACUCCAUUUGUGUGAGACUUUUAAAGAACUACCUAUGUUUGCAAGGCCAAACCAUAUUGAGCUUAUUACUGAAUCUGCUUUGUAGAAGGCAGUUCUGAGAUGGAGAAGCUGGCUGUUCUGAAUGAAUGCACUGGAUAUUUGACUGUCCAAUAAAGUGUACUGAAUGCUGAUCUUGGCUGUUAGC
rnacentral:lncRNA from 1 species